AUUGAACGCUGGCGGCAGGCCUAACACAUGCAAGUCGAGCGGAUGAAGGGAGCUUGCUCCUGGAUUCAGCGGCGGACGGGUGAGUAAUGCCUAGGAAUCUGCCUGGUAGAGGGGGAUAACGUCCGGAAACGGGCGCUAAUACCGCAUACGUCCUGAGGGAGAAAGUGGGGGAUCUUCGGACCUCACGCUAUCAGGUGAGCCUAGGUCGGAUUAGCUAGUUGGUGGGGUAAAGGCCUACCAAGGCGACGAUCCGUAACUGGUCUGAGAGGAUGAUCAGUCACACUGGAACUGAGACACGGUCCAGACUCCUACGGGAGGCAGCAGUGGGGAAUAUUGGACAAUGGGCGAAAGCCUGAUCCAGCCAUGCCGCGUGUGUGAAGAAGGUCUUCGGAUUGUAAAGCACUUUAAGUUGGGAGGAAGGGCAGUAAGUUAAUACCUUGCUGUUUUGACGUUACCAACAGAAUAAGCACCGGCUAACUUCGUG
rnacentral:rRNA from 1 species